rnacentral:tRNA from 1 species
GCGCCCGUAGCUCAGCUGGAUAGAGCAACGGACUUCUAAUCCGUAGGCCGCGUGUUCGAAUCGCGCCGGGCGCGCCA